GGCAGAGUGUUCCAGACAUGAGAGUGGCACUUUAUGGAAUCACCAUGAAUAUUCAGCUGUCUCAGUACAAAAUUUUCUGAUUUGUGUAAAUUCUUUGGUCAAGGUACAUGGCCACCAGCCUCACAGAUGUGAAUGCCAUGUGACAAAGUAUCCAUGUACUAUAAACAGAUUUUAAAGUAGUUAUAUGCAUUAUAUUGCAAUAAGUUAAUCUUUAUAUGCAAUGGAAUUGAAAAGAUUUGUAUAGGAAGACUUGAAAGGUAAAGCCACUUCCAUGGAGUCUUGCAGAUUCUGAGAUGGCUUUUGCUGCUCUGUUCUUGCUAUAAAUUUUUCUACAGGACUCACAGGCAUUAGAAAUGCAGAUGUUGCUGUUUCACAAAAAGAGGAAGAUUUUUUCUUUGUUAAGCCACCAUCUUAUGAGCAAGAGCACACCCACGUUGGAACCUUAUGUUUUGCAAGAUUUAUCUCUUGAGAAAUGUACAAGUUAAUCUUUUGAACUGUUGUUUUUUCAUUGAUUCUUUAUCCUGGUGUUUAAUAAGCUUUUGUUUUUAUAAAAUUUAACUUGAAGGCAGUCUAUAGUAUUUCACUGAACCCUGAAUCCACUAACAGCAGUCACCCUGACAACCGUGAUCCUUAAACAGUGACUUGUCACCCUCACUAGAACCCAUAUGUAAAUUGCAUUGGCUGGUUUUUGUCACUAACCAUCAGUUAGGGUUCUAACAAUCAGUUUGACUUUCUAAUCACAGUGCUAGGAUAUAAGCUUCCAGUUAACUUGAAAUUUCUCCCUUGGGGAAACCAUGUUGCAAAUAGUCUUCCAAUACUGUUCCUCAGUAUGCUUGUGGAAUGCCUCCUCUUUUUUGGACUUAAUUUCAGUCAUUUAAAAACCAUGUGAGAAAAUCAUGGCUUGCCGCGCCGCUCCCCGCUCGCAGCCCCGUGCCUCGCUCCUCUCUGAACAUGGUAAAAAUAUCCAGCCCUACAGAGACUGAACGGUGCAUUGAGUUUCUGAUUGCUGUUUUCCAAAAGCAUGCUGGAAGAGACGGUAACAACAGCAAACUCUCCAAGGCCGAGUUCCUUAUCUUCAUGAAUACAGAGCUGGGUGCCUUCACAAAGAACCAGAAGGACCCUAGUGUCCUUGACUGCAUGAUGAAGAAACUGGACCUCGACUCUGAUGGGCAGCUAGAUUUCCAAGAAUUUCUUAAUCGCAUUGGCGGCCUGGCCGUAGCUUGCCAUGACUCCUUUAUUAAGUCUACCUCUUCCUAGAAGUAAAUCAGAGGAGCCUUUGGGCCUGGCCUGCAGCCCCACUCCCUUUCCUUCAGCCUCCCAAUUAUCAUCUACCCCUCACAGCCCACACAUACCCUGAGCCAGGCACACCCACCACCCCAUGCAGGCCACUUCUGCUGGUAGUAAUAAAACAAUAUGGUUUUUUAAAGCACA